UGUUUGAUGACCAAUAGUGGAAUUUCCUGAAGAAGAUUUUCUGCAUUGGUGCCAACCCUCCUACUGGAAAUAUAAUGGUAGAUGUAGGUUCCAGUUAAAUGUCCACGUUCAUAUUAACAUAAAUUUUUGUUUUAAAUUCAUUAGUGAAGUUUUCACGAUGAUCCAUGAUAGCUAUAAAUGUAUUUUGCUCGCUGACCUACGAUAAAAUUUUAUAUAGAAUCAUUUGUCCCUAGACACCAACCAUCCCCCAAAAAUGUGGUUGCAAUAGUCAUUUCGGUAGUUUAUUAAAAAAUAUUUUCAUGAUGAUCCAUGAUAUCAACAGUUUUCUUUGAAAUUUGGUUUAGAAUCAUUUCUCCAUUGACGUCGUACCCAAAAAUUGGUCAUGGUGAAAAUGGAAUGGCACUAACAAACUAAAAAUUUACAUAUUGAACUAUGUUCCAAUAUUUUUAAAUUAACAAUCGACAUCACAUUUUUGGGGUAUUGUGUCAAUGGAAAAAUGAUUCUAUAUAAAAUUUUACAAUGGGUCAGCGAACAAAAGAAAUCUGUAGAUAUCAUGGAUCAUCGUGAAAACUUCACUAACACAUCUUGAACAUUUCAAAUAGUUAUAUUAUUGAAGUUUGAGUUUGUAUAAACGUGAACAUUAAACUGGAGUCAAAAUCUACCAUUAAGUUUCUAAUAGGAGAGUUGGCACAAAUGCAGAAAAUCUUCUUCAGCAAAUUCCACUAUUGGCCAUUAAACAAAAUAAAUCAGUAAGUGCCCUAAAUGGGAAAUGUUCAACGGGACCAGACGCAAUGUCUUUUGAAGUUUGGGAUUUCUUAAUUUGUUUAAAUCGAACCUUCUCUAAUUUAAAAUGUUUUCCUUUCAACUACUCCAAUGCGGGAGAGACUGAUUUGAUUUGGUUUACCAUUUGCCUUGAACUUUUCUUUCAAUUGACACCUGCAUUCAAUAUUUAAUGAUUAUUUCUAGAUUAAAUUUCCUGGUCCUGGUGUCAUUUCUUCAUAGGGUAGCUAAUUGGUCUUGUAGCCCAUUCUUCUGCGUCCUAUUUUGCCGUUUUCUAAAGAGCCUUAUUUUUCCAUUUAAUAAUUUCCAACGAUUGUUUGCUUGUUAAUUUUUCCGCGAAUGUCAGCCUUCAUGCCCCAUAUCUGCAGUAUUACACCAUUAUCAACAAUUUUGUUAAAUCAUUCUUAUUUCUGUUUACUUUUCAUGGUAUCUGUUUUAUAAGAUUCCAACAAUUUUUUUAAAAUUAUGUUUCUUCAAUUUUUUUCUUCAGCAAUGACAGUCAUUGACAGCAAGCUUAUACGGGAACCACAAAUCGCGAAAUAUUCCAUCAUUUUCUAGCAUUGCCCAUCCCAUACUGAUUGAAUUGUUACAUUUUUCCGCUCUUAAUUGUUUUCUUCACGGUAAGUCAAGAGCCCGAAAGAUUUACGUCCGUUUCAUAGCUAAAGAAAUUGAAAAAUGUUUGGGCUCAACAUAAAUAACAAAGCCGGACCUAAUUUUGAAUUUUGCUAAUUUCGUUGCCGUCCGUCAACGACAUUUUUCGGAUAUCUUGUCAACGGAAGAAAUUUCCCACAUCAAAUUUGCUACGGGUAGAUGAAAAUAUGAAGUCUCCAGACAGGAUAUAUACCACGAAGACUGAGUACCACAUUUUUGGGAUAUGAUGACAAUGGAAGAAAUAUUCUACGUCAAAUUUUCAAUGGAAAUAUCAUACAUCAAGUUUGCUAUGGGCCUGUGAAAAUAGAAAGUUUCUGGACAGGAUAUAUACCACGAAAAUUACCACUCAUGCUCAUCUGAAUACCUCAUUUUUGGGAUAUGAUGUCGAUGGAAGAAAUUUUCUACAUGAAAUUUGCUAAGGAUAAGUGAAAAUUGAAAACCUCUAGACAUGAUAUACAUCACGAAAAUCCAGCUUUUAA